rnacentral:lncRNA from 1 species
AUUUAAUUUUAAUUAAUUUUGACUAAUUUUGUGUUAAAGAGAUGAAAAUACCCUUACUCUUCAAUUUUACAUCACAACUUUCUCAUUCCUCUCUGAAUCUCAUGCGUUCUCUCUCUAUUUUCUUUUUCUUUUCUUCUCUCUUACCUUAGAAUAUCUAGCUCUCUCUCUCUCUCUCUCUCUCUCUCUCAACUUUCACUCUCUGUUUUUUUUUUUUUUUUUCUCUAAGGGCGUAGGUGAUUUUCUCCAGUGACGGUGUUCAUAUUAUCAAGUGUUUAUUUGCUAAAAGUUCUCUUAUCCUUAUUUACUUUUCUGAUUAUCUUCUUCAUAUAAUUUUUUGGUCAUCUUCUCCAUAUACUUUUCCGGCGCCUUUGGUUGCUUCACCUCCGUCUUCGAUUUAGGGUUUUAAAUAUACUUUUAUGAUCAUAUUUGGGUUUUAACUAGUCGAAUUUUGUGUUUUUUCAUAAUAUAACUUGUUUUCCAAAUCUAGUCGUGGCAUUUCGUUCAGCUGUAUUUUGGAUUUAAAGAUAUAAUACACUUGGUACGAAAGAGGAUUAUUUGUACCAGACAUGCAAUGAAGUUGUGUGCUUGACUCAUACCAAGUGUCG